GAUGUGAAAUCCCCGGGCUCAACCUGGGAACUGCAUUCGAAACUGGCAGGCUAGAGUCUUGUAGAGGGGGGUAGAAUUCCAGGUGUAGCGGUGAAAUGCGUAGAGAUCUGGAGGAAUACCGGUGGCGAAGGCGGCCCCCUGGACAAAGACUGACGCUCAGGUGCGAAAGCGUGGGGAGCAAACAGGAUUAGAUACCCUGGUAGUCCACGCCGUAAACGAUGUCGAUUUGGAGGUUGUGCCCUUGAGGCGUGGCUUCCGGAGCUAACGCGUUAAAUCGACCGCCUGGGGAGUACGGCCGCAAGGUUAAAACUCAAAUGAAUUGACGGGGGCCCGCACAAGCGGUGGAGCAUGUGGUUUAAUUCGAUGCAACGCGAAGAACCUUACCUGGUCUUGACAUCCACAGAACUUUCCAGAGAUGGAUUGGUGCCUUCGGGAACUGUGAGACAGGUGCUGCAUGGCUGUCGUCAGCUCGUGUUGUGAAAUGUUGGGUUAAGUCCCGCAACGAGCGCAACCC
rnacentral:rRNA from 1 species